AUCCAAACACCUUGAAAUACAGAAAGAAAAUAGAGAGAGUCUCAGGUGCCAAAAUGUGCUUAAAUAGGAGAAAUACCUUGUUUAAUAUACUAAGAAACGACAGAAUUAAGUAUGACCAGGACUCUCUUCUGGGAGUAUAUGAGAUACCGUUUGUAGACAACGAUUUAUACCAAAAUUUUAAGUAUAUAGUCUAUACGAAUAGGUCGCUAAAGAAGCAUUUAGAGGAACAUAAGAGAGAUGUUGAGAAAUCCACCUCCACCACAACAUUAGCGCAGAGGGCCCUGAUUAGUGAUUUGACAAUUAACUGGGAUGAAGCCAGACUAUUACAAAAGCAGAUAAAGGAAGGAUAGCAGAAGCCUUGGCAAUUUUCAAUAGUAGAGACUCUAGGCUGCAAAUUAUCAACAAAACAGAUCCCUCCACCAUCAAUAAUGCUUGGAAAUUGUGCUUAAGGAGAUCAGGAGCAUCAAGGCGAUAGUGUUAAGUUACUGUAUUACAAGAACAGAAGGAAUAACUUCAUGGACGAUUGAGAACAUCCAGCAUAAAUUUGGUCUUUAUUUUAAUUUGUUAGAUUAGGUUUUCUUCAUAUAAUGUAUAUGUUUAUGAUCUAUAGUAUGUAACCUUAUGUAUGUUAAUCUUUAUUCUAUUGGUGUAGUUUUUAUGUAUAUAAUUAUUAAGAAAUGUAUUAGCCUUAGAUAUCCAGCGGCACGUUAUGGCUUCAUAGGGGCCCGGGCAAAUCUGAAUUUGGGGA
rnacentral:lncRNA from 1 species